rnacentral:rRNA from 1 species
GACGAACGCUGGCGGCGUGCUUAACACAUGCAAGUCGAACGGAAAGGCCUUUUCGGAGGCACUCGAGUGGCGAACGGGUGAGUAACACAUGGGUGAUCUGCCCUGCACUCUGGGAUAAGCCUGGGAAACUGGGUCUAAUACCGGAUAGGACCGCACUUUAGUGUGUGUGGUGGCAAGUUUUUUCGGUGUAGGAUGAGCCCGCGGCCUAUCAGCUUGUUGGUGGGGUAAUGGCCUACCAAGGCGGCGACGGGUAGCCGGACUGAGAGGUUGGUCGGCCACAUUGGGACUGAGAUACGGCCCAGACUCCUACGGGAGGCAGCAGUGGGGAAUAUUGCACAAUGGGCGCAAGCCUGAUGCAGCGACGCCGCGUGGGGGAUGACGGCCUUCGGGUUGUAAACUCCUUUCGCCAGGGACGAAGCGUUUUGUGACGGUACCUGGAGAAGAAGCACCGGCUAACUACGUG